AGGUAGCUGGUGCAGCUGGCUUUAGCCCCAGGUCUGCCUGGCUCCAAGGCCUGCAGUAGUGGCCUGUGAGCUGCAUUCCUGGCUGUUGUCAUGGUGAUGCAGAUGGGCUACCCUGUAUGCGGGACCCGAGCACAGGAACAGAGCUGCCUCCCAUGUGGCGCGUGUUUACCGGGGCGUGACCAAGAUGAGGAAGAUGGAUACUCGCUCCACCCACCACACAACCCUGCAGGCAGGAGAGCAGAAACUCCUUCCACUGAGGGCUCUGUGGAGUGGUGUGGCCCACUGGUGAAGCUCGGGAGGCAACCUGCUUGUGUUUAGUCCUGGUCCUCCCUCAUCAGAGGAAGUAUCCUAGGAUAGAACCUUACCGACGCUGUGAUGGGAAUCAAGUUGUGAACGUUACGAAGGUUGUCACAGCUUGCAGAUUCAAGCCUCUUCAGAAUACAGGUGGGCUUGUCCCUGCUGCUGGCCACUGGCACUGCAGGCAAGGACCUGGCCUGGAGGGUUCCCAGCCCAGGCUUCGUGUAAGGGACAGGCCCAGGGAGGCUGGCGCCCUGCUGUGAAUGUCACCACCACAGUCAUAUUCACUGUGAUCAAUAAGACAUGAGCCCAUGGCACGCAGUCCCGGCAGCCCUCCUGUGGUAUGCCCCAACUCCACCCUGUGCCAGCUCUCUACCUGCUUCCAUGGGCUCCGCCUCACCUGGCCUGCAUCUGUGUGAGCCAGGAGAGUCAGAACACCCGUUUGUGCUUCCUCCUCUCCUCAAGGACAUGUUCAUUGCAGCAUUAUUCACAAUAGCAAAGACAUGGAAUCAACCUAAAUGCCCAUCAGUGAUAGACUGGAUAAAGAAAAUGUGUACAUAUACACCAUGGAAUACUAUGCAGCCAUAAAAAAGAAUGAGAUCAUGCCCUUUACAGGAACAUGGAUGGAGCUAGAGGCCUUCAAGGGCCUGCAGCCGACAGACCUGGUUCCUGGUGCUGGGAAGGUCCUUGCUAAGCGCUGCUUGUCCUCCUGUGUGCUUGGGAGCCCAGCACUGGCUCUAGGGCACAUCCUUCCCUGGCUUGGGGCCCACCCCAACAAUCUGAAUGCACCUGAGAGUUUAGACGCAGCCUCUGAGGUUGGGCCAGCGUGCUCCUCAUAACCUCUCUUUUGUCAUAGACCUGGGCCUGCAUCAGAUCUGCCUCCUCCCUGUCCUUAAAUCAGGAGGUCCCAGGUGCUCAGGGCACAUCUCCUGCUUCCACCACUGCAGGCCCUGCCCCAUUCCCAUCUCCGAGACCUACUGAGCUUCCUUAAAGCAGAGCCAGUUUCCACUGUAACAUGAGGCGGUGCCCUGCAGAGGGCGCUCAGAAGUGGACUACCCUCUAGAGACACGCUGAAUUGGCAGAAAGACAGGGAGAUCGUUUCCUUGCAAAGUGAAACAAGGAUUUUUAUUUUGUCUUGGCUAUACAUAAAGUCAAAGCUGUUCUUGAAUAAAUAAGUGUUUUCCUGAGGUAUAUAGUCUUAUAAUCAUCAUUCUAAGUAAUUUUAUAUUAGGUUCUUAAGUUGCUUUUACUACAGAUUCUUCUACAUUAACCAUAAUGUUGUGAGUAAACAUCUUUGUGCAUACACAUUUUCCACAUUUUGCUUGUCUUAGAAUAGAGCCCCAGAAGAUGGUUAAAUUGUGUCAUCCUUCAGAGUUAUUGCCCAGUUGCUUUCAGGGUAGUUGGUGCCAAUUUACCCUGCCAUCCACUCUGCAAUGUAUGAAGUGCCACUUUCACCAUACCCUUGUCAGCUGCGAGUAUUCCAUUUUUAGAGCGUUUUGUUAAUUUAGUCAGCAAACUAAGUAUAAAUCAUUGAUUACUAAAUUUAAAGAAAGGCUUUUAUGAAACUAAAAUUUUGAAGUCUAGUUAUUGGCCACCUAUCAAAGGAACCUGUUAUGUACUUAAACAUUUUCUACAAAUAAUCUUGAGAUGUUAUUUUUAUUUCAUACCCUUUAAUCACUGCAUCAAAUUAUAUUGUGGUUGUCAGCAUAUUUGACACAAAACACGUUUUAAAAUUUGGUGAUUUGCUUAUGGAGUUUUGAGGAAAAAAGCUACUUUAGCUUAAAAUAUAAAUGGAAACGUGGCAUGUCGAACUGUGAUGAACAAUAAAUUUCCUAUAAAACAGCUUGAAAUAGUAUCAAAAACCUGAUCUCAUUUUCAAGGCAACUGCAUGGGCUUUCUGGAAUUGAUUUAGCAGUCUUUGAAAUGUUUAGCCCUUACAUUGAGAACGUACAUAAAUACCCACAUCAGAAAUGUCAUGGCUAGAACAAAGAAAUCAAGAUGCAAAAAUAGUGCUCUUGGAGAAGUCCUUCAAUGCAAGCAUUACUACGUUUGCUUCAAUAUUUAUUUUUGCUCAAAAAACCUCUUUUGAGGGAGAUCUGGGGAACUCAGACCCCACUGCGGUUGGCAGUUGUUUGCUGCAUUUCACAGGGCUAUGUUUUAGGAAAAAUUCGGUGUUGUGCCUUCUCCUGGAAACUAGCACUCCUAUGAAAACAGAGCAAUUCUUCUCCUUUAUUUUAUCUUGUACAUAUUUUUGCUUCCUGAACCCAAGGGCUCCUCUUUUUCAAACAUUUAUUUUAAGUUCAGGAGUGCAAGUGCAGGUUUGUUACAUGGGUAAACGUGUGUCAUGGGAGUUUGUUGUACAGUUUAUUUCAACACCCUGGUAUUAAGCCUAAUACCCAUUAGUUAUUUUUCCUGAUCUUUUCGCUGCUCCCACCCCCAACCUCCAAAAGGCCCCAGUGUGUGUUGUUCCCCUCUGUGUGUCCACGUGUUCUCAUCAUUUAGCUCCCACUUAAAAGUGAGAACAUGUGGUAUAUGUUUUUCUGUUUCUGUGUUAGUUUGCUAAAGACAACGGCCUCUGGCUCCAUCCAUGUUCCUGCAAGGGACAUUAUCUCAUUCUUUUUUACAGCUGCAUAGUAUUCCAUGGUGUAUAUGCUACAUUUUCUUUAUCCAGUCUAUCACUGAUGGGAUUUAGGUUUAUUCCAUGUCUUUGCUAUUGUGAAUAGUGCUGCAAUGAACAUAUCCAUGCAUGUAUCUUUAUAAUAGAAUGAUUUAUAUUCCUUUGGGUAUAUAUCCAGUAAUGGGAUUGCUGGGUCAAAUGGUAUUUCUCUCUUUAGGUCUUUGUGGAAUCACCACACUGUCUUCCACAAUGGUUGAACUAAUUUACACUCCCACGAACAGAGUAUAAAUGUUUCUUUUUCUCUAUAACCUUGCCAGCGUCUGUUAUUUUUUGACUUUUUAAAUAAUAGCCAUUCUGACUGGUGUGAGAUGUUGUCUCAUUGUGGUUUUGAUUUGCAUUUCCCUAAUGAUCAGUGAUAUUGAGUUUUUCUUCUUAUGAUUGUUUGUCAUAUGUAUGUCUUCUUUUGAAAAGUGUCUGUUCAUGUCCUUUGCCCACUUUUUAAAAAUGAAGUUGUUCAUUUUUGCUUGUAAAUUUGUUAAGUUCCUUAUAGAUGGUAAAUAUUAGAUCUUUGUUGGAUGCAUAGUUUCCAAGAAUUUUCUCCCAUUUUGUAGGUUGUCUGUUCACUUUGUUGAUAGUUUAUUUUGCUGUGCAGAAGCUUUUUAGUUUAAUUAGAUCCCACUGGUCAAUUUUUGCUUUUGUUGCAAUUGCUUUUGGGAUCUUCAUCAUGAACUCUUUGAUUGUGCCUGUGUCCUGAAUGGUAUUACCUAGGUUGUCUUCCAGAGUUUGUUUGUUUGUAUUUUGAGACAGGGUCUUGCUCUGUUGCCCAAGCUGAGUGCUGUGGCAUGAUCAUGGCUCACUGCAGCCACAACUUCCUGGGCUCAAGAAAUCCUCCUGCCUCAGCCUUCUGAGUAACUGGGAAUUACAGGUGUACACCACCACACCAGGCUAAUUUUUGAUUAUUUGUAGAGACAAGGUCUCACUCUGUUGCCCAGACUGAUCUCAAACUCCUGGGCUCAAGUGAUCUUCCUGCCUUGGUCUUCCAAAGUGUUGGGAUUACAGCCCGGCCUCUUCCAGAGUUUUUAUAGUCUUAGAUAACUAGUUUUUGACAGAAGGUGUGUGACAGGGAAAAGCACGACAAUGAGCAGUGGGUGACCUUUGCCCCAUGACCUUGGCAGGACUGCCCUCACCUCUCACCUCAUGGGCUCUAGGACCAUCCCUCGUCCCCUCUGAGGAUGGAUGCAGGGCUCUCAUCCAUCAGUGUCUCCUGUGCAAUAAAAAGUGUGAAUGCCCCACUCCUAGAACAGAAGGAAGGGGCUGGGCAAGGCUCAGGGGAUGGUGCUGACACCUCGUGAGUCACUACAUCUCUCAGACCCUCAGCUUCUGUGUUUGAAAGUGUGGGGAUUGGGCAGGUGCGGUGGCUCACGCCUGUAAUCCCAGGAUUUGGGGAGGCUGAGGAGGGUGGAUCACCUGAGGUUGGGAGUUCAAGACCAGCCUGACCAACAUGGAGAAACCCUUGUCUCUACUAAAAAUACAAAAUUAGCCGGGUAUGUAAUUUUGUAUUUACAAAUACAAUACCAGAGGGUAUGGUGGCACAUGCCUGUAAUCCCAGCUACUUGGGAGGCUGAGAAAGGAGAAUCACUUGAACCCGGGAGGUGUAGGUUUUAAUUUGCUCAUUUAUCCCACAAGCAAUGACAAAUCUUCUGUUUUGUAAAAGGCAUUCUGAUCAUAUAUGCUGGCACAUGACUUACUAAGAUGUAGUUCUUUUUCCAAAAAGCUUAUGGUCCUAUGUGGGGAGGAGCCAAACACAUUUUGGCAGAACAUGGCAAGUUCUAUAAGAAAUGCAUAAAUAUAUUUGAGCAGUGUUGGGAGGAAAAGCAUCUGAUUCUGCCACAAAUGUUUCAGAGCUUCCACCCUGAAGUAUUUGCAUCUGAAGUGAGUUGCAAAACAUGGAUAGAAUGGUCAACAAGUUGGAGAUAUUACAAUAGGCUAGUGUGUCCUCUUUUUGGACAUUUAGGCUUUGUGUAGAGUUUUGCUAUUAUAAAUGAUGCAUAUUGCAACUAUCUAUAUCUGUAUAAUCUAUAUUUAUAUUUAUAUCUAUAAAUAGGGAACGGUAUAGACAAAAACAGAAACCUUAAAAAUAUGGAAUACUCUGGCUACUCCCAGGGUUGGAGGUGUGGAAUAUGAGGCUGAGUAGCAGGCAGAGGGUAAAGCCCUUAGAAUACUGGAGACCUGGGGUCCUCCCACUUUGUUGCAUGUUAGAAUAACCUGGUCACUUUUAUACCCACACCCUCAGCUGCCAGGUCACACCCACACUAAUUCAAUCAGAAUCUCCAAGUGGGACUGAGAUGUAAAUACUUUUUGUAAUUCCGCAAGUGAUUCCAAGGUGCACCUAAGCUGGAGAACCAGUGCCAGACACAGGGAGACAUUAGGGAUUUUAAUCUGGCAGACAGACUCUCUGGUGUGUAUUUUACAAGGAUCUCUUUGCAGCAGAGAAAGGAACUAAAUUAAAGAGAGUCUAGAAGUAAGAAUCAUGGCUGCAGGAGUCAGUGAAUAGGUGUGGCCCUAUGGGUUUCAAGUGUUGGAAACUAAGAAGGUGCCAUUAACAGAAAUUGGUGAGGAAUUUCAUGAAGGUGAGAAGGAAGCCCAGGGGGCACAAGGUGGGUUCUAACCUUGUGGUUAGACAUACUUUGAAAUUUCCUUUUUUUUUUUUUCUUUUGAGACAGAGUCUCACUCUGUCACCCAGUCUGGAGUACAGUGGCAUGAUCUUGGCUCACUGCAGCCUCCGCCUCCCGGGUUCACAUGAUUCUACUGCCUCAGCCUCCUGAGUAGUUGGGAUUAUAGGUGCCCGCCACCACGUCCAGCUAAUUUUGUAUUUUUAGUAGAGACAGAGUUUCACCAUGUCGGCCAGGCUGGUCUCAACCUCCUGACCUCAAGUGAUCCACUCGCCUCAGCUUCCCAAAGUGCUGGGAUUACAGGCGUGAGGCACCAUGCCUGGCUGAAAUUUCUCCUUUUGCGUCCUUUUGGAGAGAGAGAGAGAAAGAGAGAGAGAGAGAGAGUGUGUGUGUGUGUGUGUGUGUGCCUAAUAUGGAAGCCUGCUGGUGAGAGCCAUAUCCAUUUUAAACUAUUGAGUUCUCUAUUUAGCUGUUAAAUUCCAUACGCCUGCCAAGAUCCAUACGAUAACCAGCCCCUCCAGCAUCUGCUUUUCUUUUUUAUUAAGGCCCCAAGGAGCAUACACAAUUCCUGGUGUAAGUCAGCAUUUUGCCAGAGUGCCAGAAAGGAUUCUCACAUUCCACAGAGACUCCACCAGAAAUUUGCUCACUUCCCCUUUAUUCUCGACUCACAAACCCCAACACUCCAUGUUUUCUGCCUCUUGCACUACCAUGUGGUCCUCACCACCCCACAGGACUCUGGGCAACAGAGAUGGACCACUUAAAUCGUGUUUUUACAGUAACUCCCCAUAGGACUCCUUUGCUUUUACUUCCUGCAAACUCUCUUUCCUGAUCACUUAAUUGACAUUUUUAGAAAAUUGGGAUGAUGAUCUAAAUACAGAAAUGUUGUCAAAAUUUCAGAUUUUGUUCUUAGUUGCUUUAAUUUUCCUUUACAGAAUGUUUCCUCUUCCUAACAUAGUGUGUGUGUGUGUAUAUUUAUAUAUUCUAACAUGAAUUAUUGUAAUUCCUAUUUACUUGUGUAAUCCCGUACAUUAUAUCCUUAAAGGACCUUAGGUAUUAUUGACUCUUUUAUCUUAGAGGUGAAGAGACCUGGGCCUGGAGCAGUUGUGGCUUGCCCAGGUGCCCACAUUUUUACCAGGUAAAAGAGGUUCUUAACACCCAGGUCUUCUGACCACAAUCUCGUGCUUUGCACAAUCCCAGCAGCUCUGUAUUCAAUUUGAGGGUACGCAUCCUCUAUGUUCUGUGAAGCAGUUUGCUCAUUGGAUGAUCCAACAUUUGGCCACUGAAUUCCUGGGUAGUCAAGAAUUUCCCUUUAUACUUGCUGGAGAUGGUGGCAAGGCCAUGCCACCUAGUGUGAAUACAGGCAGGGCUUAGGUGCCCCCACCAAUGUCGGUGCCCUAUAAACCCAUGCACUUGACAUCUUCAGCCUUCAGGCUUCUGAGGCCCCAUGGUUACCUUUGGGGGUGUCUUGAAGUAAGGGGGGGAAGACCUGUGACUGCUUCAAAAGGAAUCAUGGUUUUUCUCUGAAAAAAUGAAGCCUACUUGGUUACCAAAGAAAGAACUGGAGGCAGCAGAAACCAGAGAAGAGAGGUAGUCAAUAUUGUUCACAAUAGAAAGUGGUUAUCAAUGCUUAGAACCCAGGAUUUGACCAGCAAACCAUGUGUGCAUGUGUGCUUGUGCCUGUGUGUAUGCCUGUGUGCCUGGUUUAAGAGAAAUUCUGAAACCCUAAGGGAGAAAUAACUUUUGCUAUUCUGAUGAAUUAUCUAAUUCACUAAUUAGUUAAUUAGGGAUGCUUUGAAAUGAAACUGCCCCAGGUCAUUUUUCACAUAUGUCUGAGUCUAUUUUAGACUUUCUUUGAAGUGUGCUAGUUUGUGGUGCCUCAUGGCCACCAGGCAUAGUGACAUUUUCUUUCGUAGACUUAAAUGGUAGAGGGUGUAUGAAAUAAUGUGCUGAAAAGUGCUCAAGUUAGUUGUUUCUUACGUAGAUACACUGGAUAAAUGGCAGGAAGACUCCUGAUUGUAAGUAUCAUUUGCCGGAUGCUACCCAGGUGUGCAAAUGUGUAUACAUAUACACAGUUCACACAAACACACAGAGACACUCACACAAAUAUACAUACUCUUUGGCAUAUACAUACACAUUCAUACAUGCACACUCGUUCACACACAUUCACAUUCACAAAUUUGCUCUCACACACACAUACAUAUACAACUCUAACACACACAUACUUACACAUACACUCACACACAUUCACAAGUAUAAACUCACUCACACACUCUCACACAAACUCAAACACUUACACAUACCAACACACACAUUUGCUCAGAUCAUACAUAUGCACAGUCAUAUGCAUGCUCACACAUGCACACAAUGCACUCACAAAAAUACUUGCAUGUAUACAUAUUGUGCACUUGUGCACACUCACACGUAUGUGCAUGACAUGCACACAUACUCACACACUUUUAUACACACUCAGUACACUCCUAUAUACUCACACAACACACACAAUCAUAAAAGCAUACUCAUACACAUUCUCUCUCUCUCAUACACACACACACACACACACACACACGACACGGUCCCUGUCAGAAGUCAGGACACACACACACAAGACACAGUCACUGUCAAAAGUCAGGCUGAGACCAGGCAUCCCAUUUCCACCGUUAUGAGUUUUUCAAAUACAUGUGGUUUUUUUUUUUUUGUAUUUUGUCAGCUCAGCUCUUUUAGAAGUAAUAAUCAAGUGACAGUUUUCGUCAGAUGUUUCUAUUUUAAACUCUAUCUUUCCAAGGACCUUCCAGUCAUAUGUUUGCAAUAAAACAGAAAAUUGAUUUCAUGGGGAAAGAGAACUCUGAAAAUUCAAAAUGAACCAAAGUUGAAUAUAUCAUGGACAUCACUGAGCGAUGGUUGGGCAGAAAGUUUCAGUGUCUAUCUUGGGGAGAGGAGCCAGAGCCCUGUUCUUUGAAUUUCUAAGCCAAGAUCUGUGAACCUUUACCAGCUGAGUGACUGGGAGCAAGUCCCUUAAUUUCACCAAAUCUCCACUUACUCAUUUGUAAUAUGGAUUUCAUAGUACUUGCCAUCUUCAUUUUUAGGAAUGUUGUAGGAGUCAAGGGUAUAAUGCAUGUCCAGGGAGUUUGUCAAUAGCAAAUUGCUACUGUUGAGAGGAGAGAGGAGAUCUGAAGCUGAAUUAUUCAAGAGCAAAUCUCCAUGCCUACAGUUAAAAAUGUGUAGUCUCUCAUCACUCAAUUUAUCAUCACAUAUUUAAUGUACUUAUAAUUCUGGAAUUGUUACAUAAACAAUCUUCUGAGCAGUGCCUUAAGUAUGCUCACUGUAAAGCUUAGAACAUUCCAGAAUCCCCAGUGAGUGUCCACUUGCGUUUUAAAAAUUUUAUUGUUUAAUUGACAAAUAAUAGUUGUACAUGUUCAUGGGUUACAGAGUGAUGUUUUGAUACAUACAAUGUAUAGUGGUCAGGUCAGAGUACUUAGUAUACUCAUCAUCUGAAACAUUUAUUAUUUCUUUGUUUUGGAAACUUUCAAUAUCCUCCUUUUAGCUCUUUGUAACACUAUAAAAUACUAUUGUUAACUAUAGUCAUCCUACAGUGCUAUAGAGCACUAGAACUUAUUCCACCUACCUAGCUGCAAUUUUGUGUCUGUCACCAAAUCUCUCCCUAUCCCUCCUUUCCUCCUACCCUUCCCAGCUUCUAGUAUCCUGUGUUCUUUUUUUUACUUCUAUGAGAUCAUUUUUUUUUUAGCUUCCACAUAUGAAUGAGAAUGAGAAUAUAUGGUGUUUAAAUUUCUGUUCCUGGCUUUUUUCACUUAGCAUAAUGCCUUCCAGUUCCAUAUCGUUAUUGCUGUGAAUAACAAUAAUUCUUUUUUAUAGCUGAAUAGUAUUCCCUUGUGAUAUAUACCAUAUUUUAAAAAUCAAUUUAUCUGUUGUUGGACACAAAAGUUGAUUCCAUAUCUUGGCUAUUGCAAAUAGUGCUGCAAUAAAUGUAGGGGUGCAGAUGUCUCUUUGAUACCAUGAUUUCCUUUCCUUUGGAUAAAAAAUUACCAGUGGUGAGAUUGCUGGAUUAUAUGGUGGUUCUAUUUGUAGUUUUUUGAGGACUCUCCGUGUGGUUCUCUAUUAUGGCUGUACUAAUUUACAUUGCCACCAAUAGUGUGUAAGAGUUCUGUUUUGUCUGCAUCCUCACCAGCAUUUGCUAGUUUUUGUAUUUUUGAUAAUGGUCAUGCUAACUGGAAUUAGAUGAUACCUCAUUGUGGUUUUGAUUUGCAUUUUUCUAAUGAUUAGUAAUGUUAAGCCUUUUUUCAUAUAUUUCUUGGCCAUUUGUAUGUCUUCUUUUGAUAAAUAUCUCUUCAAGAUCAUUUUCCCAGUUUAAAAUUAGAUUUUUUUUUUUUUUUUGCCAUUGAGGUGUUUGAGUUCCUUGUAUACCUUGGCUAUUAAUCCUCAGUUGAAUAAGUAGUUUGCAAAUAUUUUCUCCCAUUCUGUAGGUUGUAUUUUCACUCUGUUGAUUAUUUCCUUUGCUGGACAGAAGCUUUUUAGUUUGAAAUAAACUCAUCUGUUUAUUUUUGUU